ACGUCAAGUCAUCAUGGCCCUUACGAGUGGGGCUACAAACGUGCUACAAUGGCAACUACAGUGAGCAGCCAAGCCGCAAGGCCGAGCUAAUCUCAAAAAGUUGUCUCAGUUCAGAUUGUCCUCUGCAACUCGAGGGCAUGAAGUUGGAAUCGCUAGUAAUCGCGUAUCAGCAUGGCGCGGUGAAUACGUUCCCGGGUCUU
rnacentral:rRNA from 1 species